GCGGAUCACGAUAGAAUCCACUAUCCCGAGCAAGACGAAACAUCACCUAAACGUUCAGCGAUGUUCCAGUUGAUGUCAAUCUGGUUUUGCAUCACUGUACUGAUGAUGGCACAAGCAUUGGCAAACAGACCCGGCAAAUUAUCCAUGCUGACCAGUAGUGAUCACGUGUCCCGCCUGUACGAAAAAACGUCAACACCUGCCUUGAGAGAUCCUAUUUUGAAAAGAUCCACACGGACGACAAAGCAGCUCCAUAAAGUGAUGAAAAGAUGGGGAAGAAUGAUGUUUGGCUGCCACUGUUCCGGAUUCCAUGUCGGUUGCCAUAGUGACCACUACUGCGCAGCUCGCCAUGGCUCCAGCUUCCGGUGUAUUAGGAGCUGUUGUGGGAUGACUUGCAGUCAUUGAUACCAGAUGGUGGCCAUUAUGGAUGGUGAGGUGUUCACCUGACGUCACAAGGUGCUCAUUCGUGCAAUCGUCUCUUUCUUGUGUUCACUACGCCCGGUGUUUCCCUGUAACUUGUAAAUACUGUUCAUAUUUAUUAUUUAUGAUCUUUUUGGCAUAUCUGUGUUGCGUUUCUUGUUUAUUAUCACUUGGUGUUGAUGUGAACGUUGACAAGUUUUCACAGUUGACCCUCGAUUAUCCGUUUUCUUAAAUAUUACUAGUAUAAUGUUGAACGAGCUUCCGGAUAUCUGAAACGUUGUUAACUGACCGGAGUUACCUCCCCUACCCGAAUUCUUCCGCGGCAUAAGACUCUCUACAACAUAAUGUCAUUAUUCAAUACAUAUUAUAUCCCAAAUCGAUAAAUCUGUCCUUGAUGCCUCACUAUGAAAUUUCUAAAGAAAAUAUGUCUAGAUUUUAAUCUUGAGUACGUAAAAUCAAUAUUGUUCCACUUUUCUCCGAUUGCGCGUGCUUUGUCCAUCAACAUCUAAAUUCUACUCGAUACAUCGCUUGUGUGUGCGUAUCACCUUUUCAUUCUUUGCACGGAGAAGGUUGAUUUUUUCUAUCGCCCAUGCUUGUUGUUUACUGAAAGUAUCAUGACAUAGACCGUAUAUAUCUAAUCCUUUGAAAACCAUAACAUAUUGUCUUGUCUUGUCUUAAAGAAGAGAUCUUUUACUGAGAAUGAUCUCCCUUUGUCUUUGGCAACUGAACUUCUCUCAUUCAGAACCUGUUGGCAUCCUUUACCGAUUGAAACAGGAAGAUGGAAGAAUUACCAGAGAUGGAAUAAUACUGAUUCCAAAUAGAUUCCAUUUUAUAUUAAUUUAUACUUUUGACUUUUGUACAUAUCAAAACGUUUUCCAAUGGUAACAAUGUACGAACAUUUAUAUUAGUGUUUCAAUGUAAUGCGAAAAGAAUUGUGAGGAAACAUAUGUUGUAAUAUCGUGACAUUGUCCAGGUAAGUCCCGUGAUCAUUUUGUUACAAAUGUCCCCUGGGUAAUAUAAGCAUGUAUAUAAUAGGUGAUGAAUUAACUGCCGGACAAAAGAAGGAAUACGCUAGAAAGAUGGAUUUGGCCAAAAUAUUACAAACGCAAUCAAACCGUUACGAGGCUGAAAACAGUCGGCGGAACACUGCAAACUUAAGGACCAAAACACAACCAUGAUACCCGUAUCAAAUACACCACCAUCGAAUAACCAUUUCUUGUUUAUUUCAUUUUUAGCCACCAUCAAACAUGGGUGUAUAAGUUCUUUUACCCGGCAGUUUAUGUGACCAAUGUUUUGUACUGUUUUUGUCUGGUUGAAACAUAUAGGUUAUGGAGUAUUCUUUCUACACUCUCGACUUCGCAAAUGUGUGCACGCGUAAUUCUUCCUGGUUCAGAGAUACCCUUAGGAACGUCGCGUCUUCUCGUGGACUGGUUUGAUAUUCUCUUUGCGCGGCGACAGUUUUACUGUAGAAAUGUCUGCUUGUUUCAUUCAUCCUUGUUGUCCUUUUGUUCAUGCCCUAUAUCUUAAUAAAGUGCAGUAUAUUAUAGGUUAUGUUAAAGUUUCACAGAUCAAAUAUAACAGACGCAUUUGAGAAAAACUACAACCCUGGUAUUGGACAUAUUCUUAGUCUACCGCUUACAGAUGCCAGCCAACACGUUAGUGCGUGCAUUCUGUCUUUGAUUUGUUUGUCUGUUUGUUGUUUAACGCCGCACUCGGCAAUAUUCCAGCCAUAUGACUGCGGUCUGUAAAUCAUCGAGUAUGGACCAGACAAUCCAGUUCUGUCUUUGAGUAGGAAAUUAUAACAGUAAACAAUGUUCAUAUACUGAUGACUGCUGUAUAUAAAACAUGGAUUUUAAGUUUGUUUCGAAAGUUUCUUUGACUGAAUGAUUAUAAUGAUAUUUUAUUAUUAUUUAAAUAAAAUUUAUCAGAAAUACCAAAAUAACAUAAAUAUAUAAAGAUAAAUAAGUUACAAACAAUGAAUGUGUCAGUAUUAUGUACGUGUUUAUAUAUAUGGCGUUGUGCGUGUGUGUAUUCGUCACCUUCAUAUUGGAAUAAA